UAAUGUCCGAAUAUCAAACUAACUUCACCGCAGUUCUGAUUAUGUCGUGAUCACGAGAAAACAACUUUUGUUAACUCGAGAUCAUGGGAAAAUUAAGUCGUGAUCACGAGAAAACAACUUUUGUUAUCUAGAGAUCAUGAGAAAUUUAAGUCGUGAUCAUGAGAAAACAAAAGCAAAAAAAAUAAUAUCACAUGGCCUCUCUGGGCUUCCAUAAUUGAUACUGGUGCUCUCAGUAAAGAAUUUCUAACAGAAAUGCUUGCUGAGAUUGAAAAGAAACUUUACCUGGGCAGCACAGACAAGAAGGGGAAGAAUCCGCUGUACUGUCUUAACAGCCUGGAUCACAACUACUUCAGGUGCAUUCUGGUGUCCAAGUCUGUUGUAUAUAAUCAGUGUUGGGUCUGCAGGAGAAGUUAUAGCAGCUAGUAUGGCACAAGGUGGACCUCUGCCCAACUUCAUGUGUGAAUGGUGCUUCAGGUACCUCUGUUCUGGUGAUUCAGACAGCAUACAGAUGUCUACCACCGAUGUCAUAGAUUUGGAAUUGUCACAGCUUAUUAUAGUUACAUAAUACUAGUUAUAUAAUUACAAAUUAUAUAAGGUAAUUAUGUUGCUGAAAUCUGACUAAACACUAUACUGUUUACUCUAAAAUGUACUUGCACAUAUAUUAAACCUCGACAGGGAUGAUGUUACUUGCUGGUGUUUUGCCUAUUUGUCUGUAUGAAAUUGCAUGAAACUGUUGCAGUGGCAAUAGGAUGGUGAAGAAUUGAAUAACAGUCAACAGUUGUGACUUUAACAGGAAACAUCUUUAAUUGACAAUUUGUGUGCUGAGACAAAUCUGUUUCAUUUAUGCUUUGAGGUAAAUGGAGCAACUGAUGAGAGUAUUAACAAGCUUAUUGAUGACCCUUAUGAUAUGAUCAUAAGCUGUGGAUACACUGGAAAAGUGUCUGUGGAAGAAAAAGAACUCAUAAUCAGGGCAAAUGUACUGCACUCAACCAUGAGAGUUGUCUCAUGUCCACAUGCUUGACCAGCUGAGAAAAGGCCUGCAGCUGUAUGACCUGCUGGCAGUCAUGAAGACACACCCAGACCUUUGUCUGCCAUUGUUUCAGGGG